AAUUUAAAUUUUUUAAAUUAAAAUUUAGUUUUUAUUUUAUAAAAACGUUCACUGUGAACAAAUCAGAACGCUUAAAGUAAUUUUCUUUAUUGAAUGAUUUAGCGCAGUAUGAAAUUUUUACUUUUUAAAUUUUAAUUAAUUUAACAAGUAAUAUCAAAGAGAAUAAUCGGGGAUAGAUCUAUUUCAUGGCGAACAGCGAAAUGUUUUGACCCAUGAGAGAGAAACGAAGGCGAAAGCAUCUAUCAAGUGUAUUUCUAUCGAUCAAGGGCGAGAGUAGGAGUAUCCAACCGGAUCAGAGACCCGGGUAGUUCCUACCUUAAACUAUGCCGACAAGGUUUUGUUUUUUUUAAUAAAAGCAGUACCAUAGGAGAAAUCAUAGUUCAUGGGCUCUGGGGGAACUACGACCGCAAGGCUGAAACUUGAAGGAAUUGACGGAAGGGCACACCAGGGGUGGAGCUUGUGGCUUAAUUUGAAUCAACACGGGAAAACUUACCAGGACCAGAUAUUUUUAAUGACUGAUCAGGCUAUAGGUCUUUCAGGAUAUGAUUUUUGGUGGUGCAUGGCCGUUGGUGGUGCGUGGGUUGACCUGUCUAGCGUUGAUUCAGAUAACGAGCGAGAUUAUCACCAAUUAAAUAUAUAAAUAUUUUUAUUAAAAUAAUU
rnacentral:rRNA from 1 species